GCUCUAUUUUUGUAACUAUAGUAUCUGAAGCUACAUAAAUUACAGGACUAGAUAGAAGUCCUGUAAUUUAUGUAGUUAGAAGGACAAAGUUUCAGAGUAAUUUAGCUAGUCGUUUUAAACUAACUACGUUUUUAUGGAGAACCGAGCUUGCUGGGGACUAAUUUUUUAGUCUUACCAAUAAUAUAUGAUCACGCGCCAUAUUGCGGAAUUUCAUUGAAACUAAAUUUUUCAUAGUAGACUGAACUGUCACCCGAUACAUGAGAAUAACAGCGCCCUCUUGACAAUGAUCAUAUAUUUCUGAUCAACCUUUAUAUUGUAACGGUUUGCUAUAAAACCUUUUUCGCAUUAAGCGCUUUGUGCUGGCUGUUUGACAAAAUAAAAACAUUUUAAAAUCUCGUUCGGCAAUCUGUCACAUUUUUUGCACAUGAGAAAUGCUGAAGAAAAUAAUUCGUUGAAUAUAAUAUAUUUACAAUUGAAUAUCUCAUUUUGUUGGUAAAAUGCUGCGUACGUGUCCCCAGAUCGGGGAUCAAGUCUGGGAUUUAAUUUGGCCCUCUCCAAACCCGUGGGGCAUGCUACUGCGCAAUUCGGAUGUUACUGUUUGUGAGAGUCAGAAUGGCGGGUGUACCUAAAUAAAAUUAAAUGAAAACCAUACCAUAUUUUUGUACCUAAUUUGUACUAUUUAGUACCUCCUUUAAAAAAAAUUGUACCUCACGGUACUUAAAGUUAUCACCAAAAAACAGGUCACCCGCCAUCCUGACAGUCAGAAUGGCGGGUGUACUUUAUUACGCUAUGUUCCCGUGGUUAUUGAUAAAUUCUAUAAAAGCCUAAUUUUUGUACCUUUUUUGUACCUUCAUAUUCAAUUAUAAUACGAGUCGUUUUAUUUUUGGUUUCCAAGUUUUACUCAUUUUAUAUUUUGCUUGCUAUUACAAUUUUGCAGGCGUUAUAAUUUUUCAAAUUAUCGAUUUCAUUUUUAAGAAAAAACGCUAAGGUACAAUUAUUUUUAUUACGCCAGGAUUUAGUACCUUUAAUGUUUAAUCUGUUAAGUUCAAAUAACUCAGUAAAUCAUGUCUUAAAAAAGGCUAGGCGCCAAUUCAAAGAAAUCUUCCUAAGAAAAAUCAUUUUUAAGACAUGAUUUUCUGAGCUAUUAGAACUUAACAGAUUAAACAUUAAAGGUACUAAAUCCUGGCGUAAUAAAAAUAAUUGUACCUUAGCUUUAAAAAAGGCUAGGCGCCAAUUCAAAGAAAUCUUCCUAAGAAAAAUCAUUUUUAAGACAUGAUUUUCUGAGUUAUUUGAACUUAACAGAUUAAACAUUAAAGGUACUAAAUCCUGGCGUAAUAAAAAUAAUUGUACCUUAGCGUUUUUUCUUAAAAAUUAAAUGGAUAACUUGAAAAAUUAUAACGCCUGCAAAAUUGUAAUAGCAAGCAAAAUAUAAAAUGAGUAAAACUUGGAAAGCACAAAUAAAAUGACUCAUAUUAUAAUUGAAUAUGAAGGUACAAAAAAGGUACAAAAAUUUGGCUUUUAUAGAAUUUAUCAAUAACCACGGGAACAUAGCGUAAUAAAGUACACCCGCCAUUCUAACUGUCAGGAUGGCGGGUGACCUGUUUUUUGAUGAUAACUUUACGUACCGUGAGGUACAAUUUUUUUUAAACGGGGUACUAAAUAGUACAAAUUAGGUACAAAAAUAUGGUAUGCUUUUCAUUUGAUUUUAUUUAGGUACACCCGCCAUUCUGACUCUCACUACUGUUUGUGGUCCCGGAUCUGGAACAUUGAAGUGGAACACCUUUCUAUGCCUGUCCCGGAUCCGGAACAUUGAAACCGGAACCCACAAACCUAGAUGCGCAUGCUCCUCAACGUUCCGGAAAGUUCCCGUGCUGGGGAAACGGAACCAAAGCUGAAGACGGCCACACCCAAUUGCGACGUACCGCGGCAUUGUGGAGGGAAGUGACCCCUAUUAAAGACUUGUUUCGCGCUUAAUUGUCUAUUGCCAGCUCAGGUAUAUAAGAACUCAUGACCUUUCUUUUUUAGUUUUAACAAAUUUUGUUAUAUUUAGUCCUGAUAGUUUUCUUAUCUUUCUCUUGGUAGGAUAUCUUAUGCGACUUUAAACGUCACAAUAUGAAAACGCCAAUAGACACUUAAAUAACUGUCAUCUCGGUACAUUUUUUUUUAUUUUUAAACUGACGUUAUAGGGAGCGUGCAUGAACUGUAGGAGGCAGCACUGUAGGAGGAUGUAGCCCACAAGAUAGCAGAACCUACUAUGCACAAGAAAACACGUGACGUGUACAUGUGCAUGUUUAUGGUUCCGAUUCAGGCCACAAGAUGGCAGACCCUCCAACGCGCACGGUCCCUAUAGAGCAAGAUCCCAGAGCCGCCAGACCUUACUUAUUUUGUCAGGACUAAAAUGUAUGGGAUAAUAUAGUGUUAGUAUGUACUUUUAUUGGCCCGACGGCCAUUUGUCCAGUACAGGGUGCUAAAGGUAGGUAAAAAUAAUACUAUCUUUUCUUAAAAUCUCAUAGCUGAUUUAUAUGUAUAUUUUAGAAAAUAUUGCUAAAAACUGAUAAUCAACAUUGCCAGACCAUUUCUGCCGGCGGUAACUUUUAGCAGUCGCUUUAAAGCUGUCAAAAAAUAUUGUAACUUUAUAUAUGAUACUCAGGGACUGUAAGUAGCCACACCGCUCAACCAUCCCCACUAUUAUAGUUUAUAUGUGUGUCUGUGUGAAACUUUAUGUGGGUCUGGGGGAUGGUUGGCAUCCUCCAAUUGGUCUGGCUACUUACAAAAUGGUUUGUAAUAGUUAAUCAAGAGUGAUAAGUAACAGUAUCUUUUAGACAGUUUUAAAGGGUCUGGUAAAAGUUACCACCGGCGGAAAUGGUCUGGCAAUGUUGAUUAUCAAUUUUUAACAAUAUUUUUUAAAACAUA